rnacentral:rRNA from 1 species
GAUGAACGCUGGCGGCGUGCCUAAUACAUGCAAGUCGAGCGAACGGACGAGCAGCUUGCUUCUCUGAUGUUAGCGGCGGACGGGUGAGUAACACGUGGAUAACCUACCUAUAAGACUGGGAUAACUUCGGGAAACCGGAUCUAAUACCGGAUAAUAUUUUGAACCGCAUUGUUCAAAAGUGAAAGACGGUCUUGCUGUCACUUAUAGAUGGAUCCGCGCUGCAUUAGCUAGUUGGUAAGGUAACGGCUUACCAAGGCAACGAUGCAUAGCCGACCUGAGAGGGUGAUCGGCCACAGUGGAACUGAGACACGGUCCCGACUCCUACGGGAGGCAGCAGUAGGGAAUCUUACGCAAUGGGCGAAAGCCUGACGGAGCAACGCCGAGGGAGUGAUGAAGGUCUUCGGAUCGUAAAACUCUGUUAUUAGGGAAGAACAUAUGUGUAAGUAACUGUGCACAUCUUGACGGUACCUAAUCAGAAAGCCACGGCUAACUACGUG